rnacentral:misc_RNA from 1 species
CAUGAUUCAUUUCAAAUAAUUCCUGCUGGAUGGAGAUAUUUUAGACUUAAGUUCGUGAGAAUUAGAAACCUGAAUAAUAGCAGAGGCUAUGGUGCCAACAGAGGCAGAAAAUCCUGAGAUAUUGCAAACACAGCAAUCAGAAUAUCCAGUAAGGAAAUAAAAUUUCGAGAUGGCAGAUUAAACUUAUGUUUGUUCAAUUUUCCCAUGGGAAUGGAAGAUAUUUGCAAUGUGAAAUUAUAAGAGCUAGAAGGGAUGUUUAAGCAUAUCUUCCUCUUUAUUCAGAGGCAGAAUGUGAUAUUUCCUUGCCUUUGUUAAUCUAAGGGGCUUGCACCAGUGUCUUUAAUUAAUAUUGU